rnacentral:rRNA from 1 species
UAGGGAAUCUUCCACAAUGGACGCAAGUCUGAUGGAGCAACGCCGCGUGAGUGAAGAAGGUUUUCGGAUCGUAAAGCUCUGUUGUUGGUGAAGAAGGAUAGAGGCAGUAACUGGCCUUUAUUUGACGGUAAUCAACCAGAAAGUCACGGCUAACUACGUGCCAGCAGCCGCGGUAAUACGUAGGUGGCAAGCGUUGUCCGGAUUUAUUGGGCGUAAAGCGAGCGCAGGCGGAAGAAUAAGUCUGAUGUGAAAGCCCUCGGCUUAACCGAGGAAUUGCAUCGGAAACUGUUUUUCUUGAGUGCAGAAGAGGAGAGUGGAACUCCAUGUGUAGCGGUGGAAUGCGUAGAUAUAUGGAAGAACACCAGUGGCGAAGGCGGCUCUCUGGUCUGCAACUGACGCUGAGGCUCGAAAGCAUGGGUAGCGAACAGAAUUAGAUACCCUGGUAGUCCAUGCCGUAAACGAUGAGUGCUAAGUGUUGGGGAGGUUUUCCGCCUCUCAGUGCUGCAGCUAACGCAUU